UUCAUCUUCUCAUCUCUCCACGUUUUUCUUUUCUUAUUUCUUGGAUCCGGGCUGUUCCUUUACUCCCUUGUGAUCGCCUAUUAUAAAAAAAAAAAAAAAUCGAUAAAAAAGAAAAAAAAAAGUUUUGGCUUGAAUCACCUUCUGAAGAGAAAUCCAGGGGGAGUGGUGGAAGAGAAAUCCUGCUGGCUGAAGAGAAACCCAGCCUUAGGACAGUUAAGGCGGAUCCAUUUCAAAAAUCUCUUCAUCUUUCUUUCUCUUUUCUUUUUCCCACAAAAGUUUGUUUUGGGUUUUGAUUGCUGAAUUUUG
rnacentral:lncRNA from 1 species